rnacentral:rRNA from 1 species
ACAAUGGCAGGUACAGAGGGAGUGCUACCGGGCGACCGGAUGCGGAUCUCGAAAGCCUGUCCCAGUUCGGACUGGAGUCUGCAACCCGACUCCACGAAGUUGGAUUCGCUAGUAAUCGCGCAUCAGCCAUGGCGCGGUGAAUACGUUCCCGGGCCUUGUACACACCGCCCGUCAAGCCAUGGGAGCCGGGGGCGCCUGAAGUCCGGGACCGCGAGGACCGGCCUAGGGCGAAACUGGUAACUGGGGCUAAGUCGUAACAAGGUACC